rnacentral:lncRNA from 1 species
AGCAGAGCCUGCAGAGGACAGCCAGAGAGAGCAGGUGCCUUUGAGACGCUGCAGUCGCUGCCAAGCAAACUCUAUCUUUUCUGCUGCCGUCCCUGGGGAGGGAAGCCAGUGGUUAGCAGACAGGACUUCUGUCUGUCCCUUUACAUGGGCACACAGUAACCAAGCAAUUACAAAGGAUUGUUAAACUGUGCAGCAGAUGGAAGAAGAGGAAGCUAAGGCAGCGUCUCUCCUUACUAAGAAUAAAACUGGAAGCGUGAGAGAGGCUCAGCUAACCAAGUUUCUGCAAGAGGAGGCGUUCAGGGCCCAAGCAGGUCAGCACGUGGUCCAGCUCUCUGGAACUUGAUAGAACCAACACUGGUUUGGAGGAUGAUGCCUGAGAUUCCACCAGCCCUUGGGAGUCGGGCCAGGACUGCUACGAUCUUGUCUCAAAAGAACAACACGGAGACAGUGAGAUGGCUCAGCAGGUACAAGCGGCUGCUCUUGCAUGAGGACCCGAGUUUGAUCUGCAGAUCCCACAGUGAAAGAAGAGCCAAUUCAAGAUUGUCCUCUGACCCCAACUAAAUGUGACUGCCAUACAGGGAGAAGACAGUUCACAGAUCAUAAUAAAACCUAAAAGGAAACCUAUCUACAUUAAGAUAAAGACUAUAAUAAAGAUGAUAUGUCAAGUUGA